AUGAUUUUUUUACUCUACAGAACAAAACUCGAUUGAAGAAAACCAAAGCGAAGGAAGAAAUGUGGCAAUUGAGGAUAACCUAAAACUGAAGAAGCUUAAAAUAAUUCUAUCAAAAACAAUUUCAAUAAAUGACCUACUAAAAAUGGGAAUUACAAAAAUUAAUUUGAGGAUGACCUAAAACUGAUUAAUUCUGAAGAACAAGUUCAAUAAAUAACCUACAAAAAAUGGGAAUUAACAAAAAUUAAUUAGUUUUAAAUGCGCUUAUAUAUACAUUUAAGAAAAUAACAAUUUUAUGUUAAAAAAAUUUAAAUUGGACAAAAUAUUUCAUGUUAAUUUUGAAUCAAAAUCUGAAGAAGGUUCAAGUAAUUCUCUCAAGAACAAGUUCAAUAAAUAACCUACAAAAAAUGGGAAUUACCAAAAAUUAAUUUAUUUUAAAUGCUUAUAUAUAUACAUUUAAGAAAAUAACAAUUUUAUGUUAAAACAUUUAAAUUGGACAAAAUAUUUUAUGUUAAUUCUGAAUCAAGACGAAUAAUCAGAGAAGAGGGCUUGCUUGUAGGUGGUAGCAGUGGAUCAAUCCUUGCAGGUGCCUUACACUUCGCAAAGGAUUUAAAACCUGAUGAGAGGUGUGUCGUUAUAUUGCCAGAUUCUAUCAGAAACUACAUGAGCAAGUUCUUGUCUGAUGGAUGGAUGGAGGAAAGAGGGUAUUUGUAAACAAUCAAAAAUCAAUUAUCUUUUUUUUCCCUUUCAGUAAAUGCUAAACAUGUCAAUAUCUUGUUUAAUGACUAUGUUACAUAAACUUGUUUUUAUAUUUCUAAUAUUAGGCAUAAUGUGGCAUGAUUAAAAUUGAUAAUGUUUCAAUAUUCGUUCUUCAUAUUUUGUCUUCUUAGUUUGAUAGAUAUAAAAAUAUGUUUUUUAUAAGUACUUGGAAUUUGUGUGUAUGAAAACCACUAGAUCCAGAUACUAUUAUCGUGUGUGUGUGUGUAUAUGCUUACCACUGAUGACAAACUAGUUUUGUUGCUCUCUCUGGCUGUUUACUUUUUAGCUUUUGGUUAUCAAUUCUUGUAUUGCAAAUGAUGCAGCUAUUAUUUCCUACAGCAAACCAACACCAUCAGUAUAAUUUUGUUCUAUGUAAGUUAAGGUGUUAAAAGUUUUGUUAUGGUGUAUUUAAUUUAAUUGUUUGAUUUUUUUCUGUUAAGUGUGAUUGCACCGUGUGCUGCCGCUAAUGCAAAGGUAAAAUGUCAUUUUUAUAAACAAUGUAGGGGAAAAUUCUGUUUUAUGUUAAAAAUAUUUGUGAUGUGCCUAAUGGGUGGUUAUGAUGAAGAUCAGAAAGAUCCAAAAUUGGCCUAAAACUAUUUGCCUUUCAUUUAAAAAGGUGUUUUUUUUUUUAUAUAUCAUAAGGUCACUUAGACAUCCUAAUUAUAUAUAUUUGUACAAAUACAGCAGGUUUGAAGUCUAGUUUUCCAAAGGCAGUUUUGAUAUUAGCCUAUGUUAUGCUUCUUACUGUAUGUAAACACCAAAGGCAGCUUUGAAUAUUAUGUUCAUCUUACUGUGUGUAAACACUGCCCUCUGGGUUUAGAUGACAUACUUUCAGUAAACAAACCAAAACAAGUUGACUAAUAAUAGGUGUAACUGUAUUCUUUAAUAUUUUUUUCUUUAUUUUUUUUUAACAUCUAGAAAUUCAAAAUAGAGGGGACCCAGGGAGGAAUGUUUACAGAUUGGAGACCUUAACCACAUUAUAUGUGGGGCUGCGGUACACAAUUGUAUGUCUAUGUAACAUUUAAAUGGCAAGUGGCACUUGCAAACUUAAAAAAAAAUGUUCAAAAAAUUUUCUUGGUUUUUGUUGUUGUGUUGAAAAUACUGGUAGCAGCCUCAGUCGUACCCUGUAACAUGAGUCCGGUACUCAUCUGUGUCAGUCAACUUGCUGAAAAGAUAAUCAUUUGGCUGUUUAAAUUAUUAUUCAAGAUGUAUUUGUCAUAAAUAAUAUACAAUAAUUAUAUCAAUUAUUUCAAUCUUAUAUAACGAUUAUACCUUAUUCUGGAAUAUGUUGUUAGUGGCCUUAUUAUUUAAGUAUAUGUGAACUUGUAAAUAUUCGUAGUUGCAUGUUGCGCUUACAUAAAUAACAGGGUGCCUAAAAUUGUUUUUGUUGGGUUAAAUUUUUUAUUUUGGUAAGUAUUUCAUCCUAAACUGUACAAAUAUAUGAGCUUUCAAUGGCAAUUAUAGCAAGGUUGAUCAUAUUAAUAUUAUGGUGUCAUAAUCUAAAACAAAAAUUAAAAACAUUGGACUGCCAUUCUGCCAAGACACACCCAUACGUGAACUUGUAUUAGGCAGUCUCCUGGCCGUUCUGAUUUUUUGCAAGAUUAAUCAAUGUAGAUAGAACUUCAUAGAAUUAAAAACUUAUUUUUGUAAUUGUCAUACAAUAUUCAAUAAAAAUGAUCAAAGUACUUUCCUA